rnacentral:rRNA from 1 species
UACAGAGGGUGCAAGCGUUGUUCGGAAUUAUUGGGCGUAAAGCGCGUGUAGGCGGCUUAGCAAGUCGGGUGUGAAAGCCCUCGGCUCAACCGAGGAAGUGCGCCCGAAACUGGCAGCUAGAGUACUAAAGAGGGUCGCGGAAUUCCCGGUGUAGAGGUGAAAUUCGUAGAUAUCGGGAGGAACACCGGUGGCGAAGGCGGCGACCUGGGUAGAUACUGACGCUGAGGUGCGAAAGCGUGGGGAGCGAACAGG